GAUUAAAAAAUGCGGCAAAAGCCUCGGCACUUAUAUUGAGUCGAGGCCUCGGCACUCCUCCUACAGACUCUGUAAUCGCCCUGCAAGUUCAAUGUUUUACAGCACUACUUCAUACACAUAUACAAGUAACAAGAUUUCGUCAUUGAUUAAUUAAUGUUUGAAUAAUUAAUUCCAUUUGUUAGUCUCAUGCAAAUAUGGGAUGUAUAGGUGAAGGGGAACCUGAGAUGUCCAAUUUCCUGAUAAGCAAAUUCCUCUAUAAUUCUACGGAUGAUGGGAUCCAGAUUGGCCUUCCUUCCACCAACUGGAGGAGGACCGCCUUGGGCCAAAGACAUCAAGCCCCAUACC
rnacentral:lncRNA from 1 species